rnacentral:lncRNA from 1 species
CGACCCGGACACGGAAAUAGUUCUAACUAUAACAAGUCUGUCCUCACUUUCCAUGAAGAGCCUUGCCCUUUUCCCUUAGCUGCUUAUUUGGCUAUGUGGUUAUCCCGCUUCAUUUUUCCCGGGUCUCCUGUAGAUGGUCCUUCGACUCGCAUGUUUGGUUUAGCUUCUAUGUUAUCUCGAGGUCUAAAUGUUCCUCUUGCUCCUCUCUUCUUAGGAACAUUGUAUCGUCGUUUGGACGAAACUAUUCUCG